UUAAACGAAUGAGAGCACUACUCUCGUUAUGUUUCAUUUGGACUUGAGCUGAUAUUUAGAAAAAAGAAAUCCCUACUAAAAUAUAUAAAACCAUGAUUCAAACUAUAUUAUUGAAAACCUAAUGCAUUAUUAAGGAGAAAAGUUGAACUGUAAUAUUAAAAAUUAAAUUAUUGAAAGGAGAAAGUGGAAAAGAAAAAGGGUUGGGACAUUUGGAUUAUUCUGAACUGGAAGCAACAUAACGUGUAGCAGUCUUGGAAUUUGACGGGUCUAAUGGAUAUAGAAUAUAUAUAUGUGUCCACUGUCCAUUUAGAUUUUGUUCAUUUUUCUUUAUAAGAUUCUCAACUUUACCACUUUAUCCCCGGGCUUGGAUAAUUGGUGUCCACUUCAAGAAAACUCCUUUCAUAAAUACCAAUUUAC
rnacentral:lncRNA from 1 species